rnacentral:rRNA from 1 species
GAUGAACGCUAGCGGCAGGCCUAAUACAUGCAAGUCGAACGAUAUUUUCCAGCUUGCUGGGAGAGAAAGUGGCGCACGGGUGCGUAACGCGUAUGCAACCUACCUUUAUCAGGGGGAUAGCCCAGAGAAAUCCGGAUUAAUACCGCAUAAAAUCACAGAACGGCAUUGUUCAAUGAUCAAACAUUUAUGGGAUAAAGAUGGGCAUGCAGGUCAUUAGCUAGUUGGCGGGGUAACGGCCCACCAAGGCGACGAUGACUAGGGGAUCUGAGAGGAUGGCCCCCCACACUGGUACUGAGACACGGACCAGACUCCUACGGGAGGCAGCAGUAAGGAAUAUUGGUCAAUGGAGGCAACUCUGAACCAGCCAUGCCGCGUGCAGGAAGACUGCCCUAUGGGUUGUAAACUGCUUUUAUCCGGGAAUAAACCUCCGAUCGUGAUCGGAGCUGAAUGUACCGGAAGAAUAAGGAUCGGCUAACUCCGUGCCAGCCGCCGCAGUAA